UCCAUCACAGAAACACAUCUCAACACAUCCAAGGUUAUGAGGGAUGUGAGAAUGUCUUCGCUGCAUUAUUAUUUUUCAGCAUUGCCUCUGCUGACUUCAUGGGAGGAAUGGUGUUUCUUCUUCUCUCCCAUGUCAUGGAAGACACUCCUGAUGGCAUGUCUGUAGGUCUGUAGGAAAGAAUAAUCACCUCAGUAGCUUAGUGUGUGUAUGUGUGUGUGUGUGUCUGACACACUGUAGGUACAUAAUAAAGAUUUGAAAAUAUGAGUUUUUUUUAAUCCAAGCAGUGCCAUGUGUUUACUUGGAUUAGUAAUUGUACCAAUCUACAUUUUAAAGGUAAAACUAGCCAUUCAUUCUUUUGUUUCAGCAGUUGCCUAAUUUUAUUGUUUAAGUAUAAUGUGAGUGAAGGAAACUUCCUAGUUAGAAAUCUAUGAAUAUUAACUUCUUGUCUUCACUAACCAGAGUUGUUCUCAACUCAUAACACGUGGUUUGGUAAACCAUUUGCAAUGUAAACAUAGCAGAUUUUACUUGUAGUUUCAUAAUUUAGGCAGGUUGGCUCUGUAUUAUUUCUAGAAUCACAGGUAUCUGGAUGAAGAAUCACCAUUUUGUCAUUAGAGAUUACAACAAAUGUAGUUUAUUCUUUUUACCGGUAAUAUCAAUGUAAGCAAAAAUUAUACUUUUUAGCUAAGCAUGU
rnacentral:lncRNA from 1 species